rnacentral:rRNA from 1 species
AUUGAACGCUGGCGGCAGGCCUAACACAUGCAAGUCGAGCGGAGCGGCGGACGUGUGAGUAAUGCCUAGGAAUCUGCCUGGUAGUGGGGGAUACCGUCCGGAACCGGGCGCUAAUACCGCAUACUAUCAGAUGAGCCUAGGUCGGAUGAGCUAGUUGGUGGGGUAAAGGCCUACCCAGGCGACGAUCCGUAACUGGUCUGAGAGGAUGAUCAGUCACACGGGAACGGAGACACGGGCCAGACUCCUACGGGAGGCAGCAGUGGGGAAUAUUGGACAAUGGGCGAAAGCAUGAUCAAGCCAUGCCGCGGGUGUGAAGAAGGUCUUCGGAGUGUAAAGCACUUUAAGUUGGGAGGCGGUACCAACAGAAUAAGCACCGGCUAACUUCGUGCCAGCAGCCGCGGUAAUUC